rnacentral:rRNA from 1 species
GACGAACGCNGGCGGCGUGCCUAAUACAUGCAAGUAGAACGCUGAAGGAGGAGCUUGCUCUUCUGGAUGAGUUGCGAACGGGUGAGUAACGCGUAGGUAACCUGCCUGGUAGCGGGGGAUAACUAUUGGAAACGAUAGCUAAUACCGCAUAAGAGUAGAUGUUGCAUGACAUUUGCUUAAAAGGUGCAAUUGCAUCACUACCAGAUGGACCUGCGUUGUAUUAGCUAGUUGGUGAGGUAACGGCUCACCAAGGCGACGAUACAUAGCCGACCUGAGAGGGUGAUCGGCCACACUGGGACUGAGACACGGCCCAGACUCCUACGGGAGGCAGCAGUAGGGAAUCUUCGGCAAUGGACGGAAGUCUGACCGAGCAACGCCGCGUGAGUGAAGAAGGUUUUCGGAU